rnacentral:rRNA from 1 species
ACGUAGGGUGCGAGCGUUAAUCGGAAUUACUGGGCGUAAAGCGUACGCAGGCGGUUCAUUAAGUCAGAUGUGAAAGCCCCGGGCUCAACCUCGGAACGGCAUUUGUAACUGGUGAACUAGAGUGCUGUAGAGGGGGGUAGAAUUUCAGGUGUAGCGGUGAAAUGCGUAGAGAUGUGAAGGAAUACCAGUGGCGAAGGCGGCCCCCUGGACAGAUACUGACACUCA